GAGUUUGAUCAUGGCUCAGAACGAACGCUGGCGGCAUGCCUAACACAUGCAAGUCGAACGCCCCGCAAGGGGAGUGGCGGACGGGUGAGUAACACGUGGGCAACCUGCCUUUUACAGGGGGAUAACACAAAGAAAUUUGUGCUAAUACCGCAUAAUACAAUUAUAUGGCAUCAUAGAAUUGUCAAAGGAGCAAAUCCGGGUAAAAAGAUGGGCCCGCGUCCGAUUAGUUAGUUGGUGAGGUAAUGGCUCACCAAGACCGCGAUCGGUAGCCGGACUGAGAGGUCGAACGGCCACAUUGGGACUGAGACACGGCCCAGACUCCUACGGGAGCAGCAGUGGGGAAUAUUGCACAAUGGGGGAAACCCUGAUGCAGCAACG
rnacentral:rRNA from 1 species